GCGCCAGGCGCCUCUGCGCAUGCGCGGCCCGUGCGGGGCGGGAAUUCCCCGUGAGGGGAAGUACUCCCUCCCCUCAGGUGUCUCCUCAGCUAUCGGGCAGGGAACGUCAGCCUGAGAUUACGUUUUAAAGAGGAGAGUGGGAGGGGAAAAGGCGCAUAUAAAGCGAGACAGUAACCCUGAGGCCGACCGGAAUGAAAAGAGGAGCUGCUUCAUGGAUGAGUGGCUGCUCAUCCCCGUUCACCGACAGCAUCCUCUUCUCUGGCGGCAGCUCCUCGGGCUGGCGAGCGAUCAGCAGGCGGCAGGUGAAAGCAAGCUGACAUUUGAUAUUAUUUGCUCCCUGGUUUAUGCUGGAUUUAGAAGCAGUGUAAGUUGCAAGACAGCCUGCUUACAUAGCUGCCUCAUUCUUUCGGGGAAAGAAACAACCUUUGUCCUUACACGUAUCCAGGUUCUUGCAUUUGAACAUUAGGUGUCGGUGACCCUAAUGUUUUGUUUGGGGUUUUUUAUCUUUUUGUUCUGCAAUCAAGUAUUUCCUUUUAUAGAUAUAUAUUUUAAUAAAGCUUCUAUAUUCAGCAUGACACCGAAAUUAUUUCCACUUUUACUUGAGUAUAAUAACCCUGAAGACAUUCUUGACAUUGUGUUCUCUGUUUUCUAAUCAGCAUGAGGGAAAUGGAAGCCAAAUCUCAGGUACAAGAUUGUUCAGCUCUCACAGGCACUGAUCAGACUGUGGAUUUACUUCCAUACAAUUUUGGAAAUCUGCAUUACAGGCAUACAGAA